rnacentral:lncRNA from 1 species
GUUCCAACACUUUUUCCUGAACUUUGAUGCAGUAACUAAGCAUUUAUUCAUGUAUUCCUUUUCUCUGUCUUGUUUGAUGUGUAAGCCAUGUGGUAGGGCUCCAUGUUGAGUCCUUUCUUCCAGGGUGACCUAUUGCUGGUUCUGCUGGAGGAGCUGCAAAGAUCCACAACCCCACUGCCUGCACUGAGGAGAGUAGGGAGACUACAUGUGAGAGUUCUGGCUGAUUUCUGGUGGCAGGGCAUCCCAUCCCUCUCCCACUGCAUUUUCUGCUUCCUCAGUGAAGAAGUUAUGAGCUGGGGAUAGCACUGCAGUGGAAGCAGAGUGAUUCAGAAAAUAUCAAAACACUUCCACAUGCAAGGGAGUUCUCCAGCAAACUGUGUGAGCUUGUUCAAACUUCAGCGUAUUAUCUACCAUGAGCCUGAUGCUCCUCCUCACCUCACAGCAAGUUGCAUCUCCUGUUUGUUCCAUAUAGAUCAGAGCUGGUUCUCCGAAGUGUUACUCAGACAAGGAUUAUGCUAUAUGCAGAUUUAUGUCAACAGCUGAUGUUGGCAGCACAGAUCUCUAGAUGGAGAGUGACAGAUGUACUGUAAAGAGCCUGCACACACAAACUCUCAUCCAACCAUGGUGAAGAUUGAUGUAGCAUCAGAGUGAGCAAUACUUCAGCAUUUCUUUUCUCCUUUCCGGAGACUUCUGUGUGUCUUUUCUUUCCAGUAUGGAUUCAGGGAAUGUCUCUUUCCCUCCUAAUACUGUCUCAAGCUAUGGGUUGAGUUGGAUGUGAGUUAGUUCCUAGAGAGCAGUAGAAGCUGGAACAGAUGAGAGGAUUCCAGCUGCUCCUGCCUACCUCUGGCCAGUGGACAUCUUUGUGCACAUUCCUGCUAAAUAGGCUCCACAGUACUCAGCUCAGCCCUGGCUCUGAUCAGGCUUUGUUUCUCCAAAUACUCUCUGAGCUUCUUUCUAUUCACUCCCAAGCUCCCUCAAGAAAUACUGACUGAUUGCAGUGUUUUUAUAGGAGACAAGAAAUACAUUGCUGUAGAGCCUUCCAGCAAUUUGAUUUAUAGCUGUGCAAGCACUCUGGUAAUUGCAUGUAAUAAGUUAUUGGUCCAGACCACAAUAUCUUGCACUUACAAAUGCUAGAGGGAACUCUUUUUGCUUGUAAAGCUUUUCUGAGCCUUACCCACUCUUCUUAGUUCACUUUUGAUACAUUCUUGAAAGGAUGUUUUGUCACACUUGGUGAACUGUCAUCCAGGGAAGUUCCUCUUAAUGUACUUUGAGCUUGUGUUCUGAGAGAGUAGACUUACGAACAACAUUUUAGAUAUAUUUCAACCUUUCUCUACCGUGCAUAUUCUCACCUGAAAGGCCGGUGAACCUUCCUUGUAAAUUCUUGGACUAAAUUACAGUGUGAAAUAAUGAGAUUCAGUUAAAGAAUUUUGUUUCCUUGUUUUAAACAUCCUAUAAUCACAUUAUGUGAAUUAACACCCUCUUCAUGAUUUGUGCAAAAAAAAAAAAGGAAGCGAUAAUACUUUUAUAUACUUUUCAAUCUUUUUAUUUCUGAGUGGAUUUGUUAUUCAUCUUAGGUACCUGUUUUGGAAAUUGCAUUGCCACACUGAAAGUAUUCUGUCAACUUACCUAUUAUUUUAUAUCACUUUAACCUUUCUAGAUUUACUCAUUUCUAUAUUCUUUCCCAUAUUCUAAUUCUACUUAGCACUGAGCUGAGUAAUUGUAUUUCUUACUCAUAAAAACACAGAUCUUUCCAACCAUUACAGUUAAUUGACAAUCCAAAAACAUAUUUGGUGGUCAGUAUUUCUCCAGAAUUUGUAUUUCUCAACAAUUAAUCCCUCUGAGAUGUUUCCUGCUUAUCUGAGCAGUACUAAGCUUGGAAGAACUGAAUGAGCACUGAAGGAACAAAUGAUUUUGAUGAAAAGGAGGAACAGAGAAAAAAAAAAUACAAUUAAACUCCAUCUGGAAAGGGUUUCAACUGCACAAAUACAUGGAAGGAACAAGAAUAAAGGGAUUUGAACAUUGUUAUAUCA